rnacentral:rRNA from 1 species
UGCGGCCGCGAUUCCGGUUGAUCCUGCCGGACCCGACCGCUAUCGGGGUGGGGCUAAGCCAUGGGAGUCGUACGCCCCGGAUACCGGGGAGUGGCGGACGGCUGAGUAACACGUGGCUAACCUACCCUCAGGACGGGGAUAACUCCGGGAAACUGGAGCUAAUCCCCGAUAGGUGGUGAGGCCUGGAAGGGUCCACCACCUAAAGGGUCCUACGGGGAUGUCCGUAGGACCGCCUGAGGAUGGGGCCACGGCCCAUCAUGGUUGUUGGCGGGGUAACGGCCCGCCAAGCCGAUAACGGGUAGGGGCCGUGAGAGCGGGAGCCCCCAGAUGGGCACUGAGACAAGGGCCCAGGCCCUACGGGGCGCACC